AUAAUAGUGCAACAUGAGGGGUUUGAAACUACUUUACUCAAUUGCUGCAGUGUCUACUAAAUAAUACAGUGAUCAUUAUAUUGAAUUUCACAAAUAUUCUGACAUUUAACUCUUAGUUUAUUGGAAUUAACAUUCAUUUUCAGUCUUACACAGGGAAAGGUUAGUCAGUUUUGAAAUUCUGAAGCUAUAAUAGUGUUAAUCUUUCCGCUAUCCUUCUAGAACCAACAGCUGGAAAGGAAAAACAAUGUCCAAGUUCCGACAGAAGCAGAACAAUUUCCUCAAGCUCUUCUGGCGGCUCUGAUGACUCUGGAGACUCUACAACUCCUCUUGUCAAGAAACUCUAGGUCGACUGCAGUUGGAGUGCUGUCUUCUUUUUGUUUCGGGACUCUGGAGUAAACUCCCUGGCUAUUUUAAUUGAAUGUUCAAAUUUGACUUUGUGUGUUGUAGUGUACAACUUCAACUAUAACGAAUAUAUGCUCUAUUGAUCCUCACUUGUUAAGGAUAUGGUUGCAUAGGGCUCAGGUUAAUGUAUCUAGCCUUCCUUUUAUUUUAUUUUUUAUUUCACCUUUAUUUAACCAGGUAGGCUAGUUGAGAACAAGUUCUCAUUUGCAACUGCGACCUGGCCAAGAUAAAGCAUAGCAGUGUGAACAGACAACACAGAGUUACA